UACGUAGGGUGCUAGCGUUAUCCGGAUUUACUGGGCGUAAAGGGCGCGUAGGUGGUCUUUCAAGUCGGAGGUCAAAGGCUACGGCUCAACCGUAUUAAGCCGCCGAAACUGGAAGACUUGAGUGCAGGAGAGGAGAGUGGAAUUCUCAGGGUAGCGGUGAAAUGCGUAGAUAUUGGGAAGAACACCAGUGGCGAAGGCGGCUUUCUGGACUGUAACUGACGCUGAGGCACGAAAGCGUGGGUAGCAAACAGG
rnacentral:rRNA from 1 species